AGUUUGAUUAUGGCUCAGGAUGAACGCUGGCGGCAUGCCUAAUACAUGCAAGUCGAACGGAGUGAAGCCUUCGGGUUUCAUUCAGUGGCGAACGGGUGAGUAAUACGCAGGGAACCUGGCCAUGGCAGGGGGAUACACUCUGGAAACGGAGCAUAAGACCCCAUAGGCAGUAAGGCGGCAUCGCCUUGCUGUUAAAGAAAGCUGAAAGGCUUUGGCGAUGGAUGGACCUGCGGUGCAUUAGCUUGUUGGUGAGGCAACGGCUUACCAAGGCGAUGAUGCAUAGCCGGCCUGAGAGGGCGGACGGCCACACUGGGACUGAGACACGGCCCAGACUCCUGCGGGAGGCAGCAGUAGGGAAUUUUCGUCAAUGGGCGCAAGCCUGAACGAGCAAUGCCGCGUGAGUGAGGAAGGUCUUCGGACUGUAAAGCUCUGUUGCCGGGGAAAAAGGGGAAAUGCAGGAAAUGGCAUUUCAUGGAUGGUACCCGGCCAGAAAGCCACGGCUAACUACGUGCCAGCAGCCGCGGUAAUACGUAGGUGGCGAGCGUUAUCCGGAAUGAUUGGGCGUAAAGGGUGCGCAGGCGGUCUGUUAAGUCUGAAGGCAAAGGGAUGAGCUCAACUCAUUUAUGAUUCAGAAACUGGCAGACUUGAGGACAGGAGAGGGCGGUGGAACUCCAUGUGUAGCGGUAAAAUGCGCAGAGAUAUGGAAGAACACCAGUGGCGAAGGCGGCCGCCUGGCCUGUGACUGACGCUGAGGCACGAAAGCGUGGGGAGCAAAUAGGAUUAGAUACCCUAGUAGUCCACGCCGUAAACGAUGAGGAGCAGGUGUUGGGAGUGAAAUCUCAGUGCCGAAGCCAACGCAGUGACUCCUCCGCCUGGGGAGUAUGCACGCAAGUGUGAAACUCAAAGGAAUUGACGGGGGCCCGCACAAGCGGUGGAGUAUGUGGUUUAAUUCGAAGCAACGCGAAGAGCCUUACCAGGUUUUGACAUCGGAUGCGAAGGCGCAGAGAUGCGCUGGAGGCUAUCAUCCAGACAGGUGGUGCAUGGUUGUCGUCAGCUCGUGUCGUGAGAUGUUCAGUUAAGUCUGGCAACGAGCGCAACCCCCGUGGUAUGUUACUAACGCAUUUGGGCGAGGACUCAUAUCAGACUGCCGGUGACAAACCGGAGGAAGGCGGGGAUGACGUCAAAUCAUCAUGCCCCUUAUGGCCUGGGCUACACACGUACUACAAUGGCGUCUACAGAGGGAAGCGACCCUGAGAAGGGAAGCGAAACCGGAAAAGGGCGUCCCAGUUCGGAUUGAAGUCUGCAACCCGACUUCAUGAAGAUGGAAUCGCUAGUAAUCGCGGAUCAGCAUGCCGCGGUGAAUACGUUCCCGGGCCUUGUACACACCGCCCGUCAAACCAUGGAAGCCGGCAACGCCCGAAGCCGGUGGCAUAACCUUUUAGGAGUGAGCCGUCGAAGGCGGGGCCGAUGACUGGGGUUAAGUCGUAACAACCUAACCA
rnacentral:rRNA from 1 species